AACUAGGUGCCAUUAGGCACCACAUCAGCAAUACAAUAGAUAAACG
rfam:Nelumbo nucifera unplaced genomic scaffold scaffold00004, whole genome shotgun sequence